CGAGUUUGAUCCUGGCUCAGGAUGAACGCUGGCGGCGUGCUUUAUGCAUGCAAGUCGAACGGUUCUUCUCUUCGGAGAAGCAUAGUGGCAAACGGGUGAGUAAUGCGUAAGUAACCUGCCCUUAAGUAGGGGAUAACCCUGAGAAAUCGGAGCUAAUACCUUAUGUAGUGCUGGAGGUAAUGCUCCAGCACUAAAGCCUUAGGGCGCCUAGGGAGGGGCUUGCGUCCGAUUAGCUUGUUGGUAGAGUAAUGGUCUACCAAGGCGAUGAUCGGUAGCUGGUCUGAGAGGAUGAUCAGCCACACUGGGACUGAGAUACGGCCCAGACUCCUACGGGAGGCAGCAGCAAGGAAUUUUGUGCAAUGGGCGAAAGCCUGACACAGCGACGUCGCGUGGGGGAUGAAGGUUUUCGGAUUGUAAACCCCUUUUCCUAGGGAUGAAUGAUGACAGUACCUGGGGAAUAAGCCAUGGCUAACUACGUGCCAGCAGCCGCGGUAAUACGUAGGUGGCGAGCGUUAUCCGGAUUUAUUGGGCGUAAAGAGGGCGCUGGCGGCUUUUCAAGUCGGGUGUGAAAUCUCUCGGCUUAACUGAGAGGAGUCAUCCGAUACUGUGAGGCUUGAGAGCAACAGAGGGAGGCGGAAUUCCCGGUGUAGUGGUGAAAUGCGUAGAUAUCGGGAGGAACACCAGCGGCGAAAGCGGCCUCCUAGGUUGUUUCUGACGCUUAGGCCCGAAAGUGUGGGGAGCAAACAGGAUUAGAUACCCUGGUAGUCCACACCGUAAACUAUGAUCACUAGAUGUUGGCGAUAUAAUGUCAGUGUUAAAGAGAAAUCGUUAAGUGAUCCA
rnacentral:rRNA from 1 species